rnacentral:lncRNA from 1 species
AUCUAUACUAUUAAUUGGGAAGGAUUACAUAAAAAAUAACCUUACAAUGUGUACAAAAUUACAAGAGAAUGCCAUUACAAUUUAUGUUUUUAUUGACAAAUUUAAAAAUUCCGUGGAGGGGUAAAAUUGUAAAAUUGCCUCUAUUGGGACGCGGAUCUCGGAUCCUACACUCGGAUCCUUUUGCGAAAAUAUAGCUGACCCGAUUAGAAUGAACCUUGGAUACUUACAAUCAAUACACACGCGGAUCUUGGAUACUUCUCGGGUCUCUAUCCAAGCUAAAACGGUAAAGCACGCGGGUCCUUGGUCACACCUGAAUUUUUAAAGAUUUAUACGAAAUGGGCUUAUUGGGCCGCGUCAGUAGGGCUUGGAAGAUAAUCGAAAAUGGCCUUCAUAUCUACAGCCUGCAUUAACUGAAUCCAUAUUAUAUUCCAAAAAUAAAAUUCGAUUACCUAAAUAAACUAAUUUAUAAACGUGUAAUUGGAGAACAAUCAUAGCAGCGAAUAUAUGCUAUAAGUUCGAUUUUUAACAAGAAAAGUUAUAAAUUGAAAUCUUGAGUAACAUAAAUCACGGACACUACCUUACCAAACUAAUCUCAUAUCUUCCGAUGAUUAUGCAAAACUUAAUCAUUUUAGAUUCUAAUCCUAUCAAAUCAAGCAUAUUCGAUUAAGGAUUCUAUUAAAUUCAGAUACGCAAAUAUAUUUUCAUGUUUAAAAAACUAAAUCCUAAAAUGAGAGUUGUAUAUGUUAAUAGUAUAUAUAGAUUACUCGAUAAUCAACUUUUAGAACACACAAUCAUACAAAGCUUCACUUCAUUUCUAUCUUCUCUUAUCGUCCACAAAAUGGCUUAGCAGAGAGUUAAUGUAAGAGGUGCCUAUGUGAUUUAAGGUUCUUAUCUAAUUUAGUUACAUUGAGUUACAUUAUUCCUGACCCGUUAUAUUCUUUACAGUUAAAACAUGGGACAAACCAUGUUCAGAAGAAGAGAGAGUCAACCAAAUCAUCUUGAAGAGAGGCAAGAAGAAUUUUCUCUUUAUUGCAUAUUUCCACAAUUCUUAACAAUUUCUCGAAACAAUUGUCAUUCUACUCAAUUUCUUUCUCUACAAUCUCAAACAUUAACUUUUACACAUAAUUACUUUGGGAGAUAUCAGUUUCUGGUUUAAUUAAGUAAUAUUCUAUUAUGUAAACUAAAUUAUAUAUCAAUCAACUUUCAGACAUAUAAGUAGUUUUAAUCUAUGAUAUAGACAUACGAAGAAAAAUAUGAAUAUAAACAACAGUGUAAAUAUAAAAGAGGCACUAACCUUUCAAACAUAUAUUUCUGGAUCUCCAAUGAAUAUAUAACACUUUUCUUCUCCAUAAUCUUAUGUUAAUAGAAUCGGAUGCUUUACCUUAAAAACAUUGAAUUUUGUUACUAAAAUAAUUGAUUUUUAGAGGCUCAUAUGAACUAAGUUAACUUAAACUCAAUAAUAGUAGGUAAACCUAAACUCAUAUUGUACUAACCUUUAAUAUAUUUAUUUGAUAAUGUCUACAAUGACAAGAAUUCUAAUGAAUAAAGAACAUACUUAUCUAAGUUAUAAGGAUUGUUACAUUUAUAUAUCUCGAAUAAUCGAGUGAAAUUAGAAAUCCGACUCCUACAUAAGAAAUAGACUUGCAAAAUAAUACUUGGCCUGCAGACAUUGAGAUUUGUAUCAUGAAUGUAAUAUUGAGCUUUCUAUCAUUCAUGUAACAUAUUUCAAAAAGUACUGAUGUAUUAUAAUGAUCGUAAAAAGAAAUACUUAUCUUCUUGGUCCCUCUUCUUCAAAGGACCCAUCAAAAUGUUUGUAAAAAUUUGAAACAAUUAUAGAAACAAUCGAUUAGUAGAUCUAUUUAAAGGUUUCAGAGCUUUACCGAAAAACACAAUAUAGAUUCCAAAUUGAUUAAAUUUAGUCUCUUUAAACUAUAAAUUUGAUGAAACAGAUUGAUUCACUACCUACAUUAGGCAUGACCACGGUUACGGUUAUUACGGUUACGGUUAUAAAUUUUCUUUAACCAUAACCUUAACCACUAUAUAUACGGUUAAAACGGUUACGAUUAAAUACGGUUACGGUUAGAACGGUUACGGUUAAAUACGGUUACAGUUAUUUGAUGAUUACAAUACGGUUAAUAUCGGAGGUGAAAUCUUAGUAAUUAAUAUAUAAGCUAUUUUAUGAUUUGUUUUAUGAAAAAUAAAUAGUGGAUUAGUGGAAUUGCUUAAAUUUAGUAGUGGGCAAAACCAUCUAAUGCACUCUUUUCGUGAGCUAAUUAUGUAUUUAGGAAAAUGAAGUAACAAAAAAAUUAAUAUUUAUUAAUUAUAAUGAUGUUUAUUAAUCUAGCUAAAAUAAGUAAUAAACAAAUAAAAAAUUUAGUCACUAUCUUCUGAUCUCGUUGACGAUACAUCACUAUCAAUAUCUUCUACAUCUUCUUCAUUUUCUCGAAGGAAUUCUUGUUGUCUAUAUUCGGCCCUGGUCCAAUCAUCAAGACAUGCCUGGGCUUCAAGAGAAUCUGGACUCAUUCUUGAUCGAGUUUCGUCUAGUAUUUGACCUCCCAUGCUAAAAGCUCGCUCGACCGAAACUGUAGAAACUGGUGAAGAAAAAACGUCUUUUGCGAUCAUGGCCAAAAUCGGAUAGUGAGAUUGGUGGCUCUUCCACCAAUGAAUGAUUUGAAAGUUAUUACCUACAUCUGCAUCACUAAACUCAAAAUUAGUAGAUAAAUAUUUUUGAAGUUCAGCAUUAUUACCUUGUGAUGGUCGUUGCCUUUUCUGUCGCCGCAUUCUUUCUGCAAGACUUAACUUAGAAGUUGAUGAGAUAUUAGUUUGAAGAGAUGAUUCAGUUUCUUGUGGUGCCAUAUGCUGAUAUAUUCUAUAAUAUUCAUCAUAUAAAUUUUCUAUGUCUAUUCUUAAGUUUGAAAUAAUGCUAGGAACAUCAAUACUAUCAGACAAAUGCAAUAAAUCAUAAUAUGCGAUGAGGUAAUCAUACAAAGUAUCAAAUUUAGUUCGAGGAUCAAAAACGGAUGCAAGCAAAUUAAGAGGUGGAAUUUCUCUAUAGUAUUUUAUCCAUUUAUCUCUCAUAGUUUGUAUGCAUGUUGACAAAGCAAUAUUAUUUCCAUGUUCAUGCAUCACAUCAGCAAUAUUAACACAUUCAUAUAAAAGUAAAUGACUAGUAGGAUAAUAAACACCAGAUAACAAAAAUGUUGCAUCAUUGAAACAUUUUAACAAUUUUAAAAGUGCACUACAAUCAUCCCAAUGAGUUGUCCAUAAAGUUAAAGAACUACAAUUUUGUUGAAUAAAACUACACAAUAAAUCUUUAUAACCAAUAGAAUCAACAAGCAUAUCAUAUGUUGAAUUCCAACGAGUAGGAACAUCUCGAGAAAACCUUUUGGGAGAUACGUUAUGCAAUUUACAAAAUCGAAACCAUUUUUUCAUUAAUUGUGGGUGCCCCCACAAAUAAUUCAAAGCAUUUUUGAUCGGUGAAACAAGGUUAUUUUGAGAAACCAAUAAACCAUCUUGAACACAUAAAUUUAAAACUUGACAAAUGCAUCGAACAUGAAAAUAUUUUCCACCUAAAAUAGGACUACAAUUAUUUAUUAAUUCAUCAAUAGAAGCAGUAUUAGCGGAUGCAUUGUCAAACGAAAUAGAAAAUAUUCUGUUUGUUAAAUUAUAUUCUUCUAAAAUUAUUUUUAUUAAUUUAAAAAUAUUAUCGGAUGUAUGUCUUUCAUCAAAAACUCGAAAAGCAAUAAUUCUCUUUUGAAUAAUCCAAUCACUAUCAACCCAAUGACAAGUAAUGCCCAUAUAAUGAUGUAUUUGCCACUGAUCACUCCAAAUAUCAGAGCAUAUGGAAACAUUAUUUGGUAAACCAGAAAACAAAUAUUCUAAAUCUUUUUUUGUUUUUCCAUAAAGUGAUUUUAGUGUACGAGUAAGAGUAGUUCGAGGAACUCUCUUAGCUUGAGGAUUUAAAGCUUUUUGGCAAUAAUUAUUAAAACCCAGUUUCUCGCCAAAACUAAAUGAAAGAUGGUCAACAGCAACACAUUUUGCUAAUUCUAUUCGAUUUUUCUUAUCUGAAUAAUGAAAAUUCGAAAGACUAGCAUUAUGAGUUUGGCUAGUUUCUCCACCAUAUUUAUCAGGAUGUUUGUUAACCAAAUGAUAUCUAUAUGAUCCAUAUCCUGAACCCGAUUUCCAAAAGAAACUUCUAUCGCAGUAAUUGCAACAUGCUUUCGUUUUUUCACCAAUUUUUUCUUUUCGAAAGUGUACCUUGAAAAUAUCGGAAGCAUUCGGACGUUGUUUUCCCGAGCUUACGUUAGCUUGUUCUUCGGUUGCACUUUCUUGAGUAUUGGUGGCUGGUAUUGAGUUAUGAUUUAUGAACAUCUUCUAUUGGUGUGCCGAUAUUAGAUCGAAAUGAAUCCGAAGACAUUUCCAAAGAAAACAAAAAAAAAAAACUUAAAGGUAUGACAAAAUAAAACUCUUCAACGUUGGCUAGAGCAAAAGAAAAAUAAUCUUUGUUGUGAAAUGUUUUAACAUACGGAACAAUGGAAUACAUAUAUAUAUAUAUAUAUAGAAAAACUGGUUAGUGAUUACUAUAUUAGUGGAAAAAAUCUUUGAAAUUUUCAAAUGAAACAAACGUUGCCAACGUUACGUAGGUGACUUGGUCAUAAGCAAACGUUGGUGACUUAGUUAUUAGUUUUCCAAAACUCGCUCAAGUCUUUAACGUGGGUCAGUUUUUUAAGCAAACAGAUUAUAUGAUAUUUUAUAUUUUUUAAUAUUAUGAGCCUCAUUAAAUUGUGUUUUCACUCUAGACAGUCAAACAUGAACACCAAAAUACAAUCUACUACUUAGUUUAUAACUAAGUUAGUUAGUCAUAGUCCGUGAUAUUUGCAAAUCUACAAUCCACUUUGACUUUGUUAACAAGAAUAAUUUCAAUUUAUUAAACAUCAGAAUUAUUAACCGUAAUCGUUUGAGAAAAUACCAUUUUUUUGAGUAGAUUUGUUCAUAUAAUGUAUCAUUUACUUUUUUGAAAAAUUGUAUCUAGACAUUCGAUAUUUGUCUUUUCAUUAGACACAGUUACGAUAACAAUUUUAAGGUUUUAAUUGCACGGUUAACUAUACGGUUAACCGUGCGGUUAACCGUACGGUUAAUAACGGUUUUGAUACGUUUACGGUUAAUUAACGGUUACGGUUAGUAUAUUUUUUAACCGUAACUAAUCUAUUUUUACGGUUAACGGUUACGGUUUUUAACCGUUUUAUACGGUUACGGUCCGGUUACGGUUGAGAUACGGUCCGGUUACGGUUAGGUUUUGGUCAUGCUUACCUAACAUGUUCAAACAAAACGAAACAAACAAAAAUAUUAGUUGCAAUGGAAUUAGAUAUGAAAAGUUCAAUAAUGACCCAAAUUUCUCUGCGAUCUUCACAAUCCUUACAUACGAUCUAUAAUGAAUCACAUAAAAAUCAUAUUUAGAAACUCAAUCAUAGAUUAAAAAACAGUAAAAACAUAGAUCUCACACAAGAAAAGCUUACCUCUUUGUAGAACUAACAAUUUGACAACCACAAUCUAUAAGCAAAGACGAAUUAUGGGGAUUCUGUAUCGAUUUCACUACUGAAUCGUCGAUCGACCGACAAUAGUUUUUUUUUAAGGUUGAUUUUUUUUUUCGUUUUCAGACAACGAUGGAUCCAAAGAAAAUUAUU